rnacentral:rRNA from 1 species
GUCUACUGCCAUGCUACCCUGAACAAGCCCCAUGUCCGAUCUCGGAAGCUAAGCAGGGUCGGGCCUGGUUAGUACUUGGAUGAGAGACCACCUAGGAAGACCAGGUGCUGUAGGCA